rnacentral:rRNA from 1 species
AUGGCAGGUCAAACCGUGAAACCAAGUCAAUGUAGGUACGUGCACAAGUGCGAUGCACAACACCACAACCAUGUACGUGCGCGAAGAUCUUAUGUGCAUCUCACCAGCUUCAUCCCUGCCGGUACAACGGUCCAUGUCGUCACGCACCCGCUUCUGCCGCCGAACGCGACCACUCCAACAACAAACGCACCAAAUAUGAUACCGCUAGCUCCCCCGACACGGCCGACCGGGCUGACGCUCCCCCAUGCCUCUCAUGCCCACUGCUUGCCGUCCAUCGUGCCACGGCCGGGGCCGGAAGAAAACCCUUUGCCGCCGCGUCAGCCGCAGCAGCAGGCACGGGUAAAAAGGACAAACGAGGCGGCCCAGCGCGCGACGGUCCGGACCCAUCUGGUCCGAUUUGUGUCCGGGCCGACCAAUUUCGAGCGCAAACAUGCGUCGGGUUUGGGUCGCGGCGGACAGCGAACGGACGCGUCGCUCGUCCGCGUCAGGGCCGCGUGGCAGGCGGCCACCUACCUAACACCAGCCAACAUCAAUGCGCACGCGCAGCCGGCCCCGCCUGUCAUCUGCCCAGGCGAACGGUCGCGGUCCUUCUUAAAUGGGGAAGCCGUGGACCGGUCGUCGUCCAUAUUCCCCCACUCCACCCCGCGGCCUCCUCGAAACCCGACAACCCCAAACCCCCAAACCCUAGCCUCGAACUCGCCGGCCGGCCGCCUCGCACCCAUGGGGUUAUGGAACUACGGCCGCAACAAGAAGCACGACCGCGAGGCUGGCUCCUCGUCGGGACGCCGCCGCGGCUCCGUGAAGAAGGAGGAGCCCGCAUCACCACCGCGUCGGGCCCCCGCACCGCCCACGUUCUCCAUCGCCCUCACGGCCGCCGGCGAGCGCGACCGGCACUACAUUGAGGCGGCCAUAUGCCGCCGCUAUUGGGAGACGAGGACGCCGCUUCCCUGGAGCGACGUCCACCUCCCCAAAGACUGGCAUUUGUCCGCCGACCGCCUGCCGAUCCCGGUGAGCGGCCGUGCGCGCCGCCAGGAGAUCGAGCGCCGCCGCCGCCUCCUCCCGGACGACCUCUAUUACGACGUCAGGUACGCCCCCGACUCGCCCAUGUGGGACACGUGGUUCCGGGACGAGCACGACACGCGGCGGGCGUCCUUCUUCGCCGGCACGUCGACGGGGUCGCAGUGGCCACGUCCAGAGCGCCGAGCGGCUGCUCCCCAGGUGCGCGGGCCGGAGGAGGAGGCCCGUCUCAUGGCGCGUGUCAUGAAGGACUCCAUGCGCACGCACGAUAAGCGCCAAUGGGAGGGCCUCGAGGAGAUGAUGGCCCUCUCCGUGGCUGGCGACGUCGCCAUCACCGAGCUGGAGAUGGUGGCGGCGGAGGAGGAGGCGCCGGUAGCCGCGUUCCACCCGGGCCUGGUGGGCCAUCACUGGAGCUGGUCGUGCACGGCUCCGGAGAUGGCCGACGCCGUGGGGGGCGUGAACUGGUGCCCCACGCCGCCGCGUUCACCGGAGCGGGACGCGUCGCAAAGGGAGGAGGUGGUGGAGGCACCUGCCGCUGUCCAGCCCGCCCCCGCGUACCACGGACCGCCGGCCCACCUCUAG